rnacentral:tRNA from 1 species
GGCGACCUGGCGAAGUGGGAACGCAUCGGUCUGCAAAACCGACAUGAACCGGUUCGAUUCCGGUGGUCGCCU